rnacentral:lncRNA from 1 species
ACCUUGUUCUUGAGCUGUCCGGUUGCCACAGGGUCGGACCUGGAGGCUGCAGACCAUCGUGGCCCUUUGCAGUGUUCGGAAACAUAUGCGCUCCCCCCAAAAAAACAUUCCUUGGAAAAGCUGAACAAAAUGAGUGAAAACUCAUACCGUCGUUCUCAGCGGAACUGAGGUCCAGCGCGUUGCCUCCAGCAGGGACUGUUGGAGUGAGGGAGAGCUUCCACUAGUCCCUAUAGGUUCCACCACCCAGGGCAUCCGCAGGGACAGUUGCCGUGGGAGGUCCGCUGCCUGCUGUCAAGGAAGAUGGUCGAUGCUUCUGAGAAACAGGCCCUGCGGGUUCCUGGAUUUGGUGUGGCCUGGCAUCCACGGUGCACCCCGUGCUGGCGGGUGGCCCAGGACGGGGCAGUUGCCUUGAGAGGCCCACCGCCUGCUGGCAUGACAGAUGGUCAGUUCUUCCGAGCAGUGGAAUCUCCAUGGAGUCGUGGAGUCGGUGUGGCCUCGCAUCCACAGUGCACCCUGUGCUGGUGGAUGGCUCAGGACAGGGCAGUUGCCGUGGGAGGCCUGCCGUCUGCUGAAAGGAAGAUGGUUGAUGCUUCUGAGCAAUGAAGGCCCCAUGGAGUCCUGGAUUCGGUGUGGCCUUGCAUCCGUGGUGCACCCCGUGCUGGUGGAUGGCUCAGGACGGGGCAGUUGCCAUGGGAGGCGCAGGCCUGCUGGAAGGAAGAUGGUCGAUUCUCCCAAGCAACAAAGGCCACGUAGAGUCCUGGUUUCAGUGUGGCCUGGUAUCCACAGUGCACCCCGUGCUGGUGGGUGGCUCAGGACGCACACUCAUUUCCUCUGCACCUUCCUGGUGUCAUUGGCAUGGAAGGAAGGCCCUUGUCCAAGAAGGAUGGUCUUCGUCUUGUGUGAUCUUUGAGAUGCCAUGAGGCCCCUGGAUACAAAUGGUGUGGGCUCCUUUGGAGGCUUUUGGAUUUCUCCUGAAUGUGGCGUUGGUAUGGAAGGAAGGCCAGUGACCGCAAGGGAUGACUUUGAUCUUGGGAGAUUUUUGGAGAUGGCAAAGUGCUUCUAAACAUGUUUGGCAUGGUCUCCUUCAGGCUGGUGGAUACCUCAGGAUGGUGGCGUUGGCAUGGAAGGAAGGACUGUGUCUGUGAGGGAUGAUCAUCCUCUCAUGUGAUCCUUGGAGAUGCCAGGAAGCCCCUUGACACAUGUGGCAUGGGCUCCUUCAGAGGCUUUUGGAUCCGUCGUGAAUGUGGCAUGGGCAUGCAAAGAAAGACAGAGGCUGCAAGGGAUAAACUUCAUCUUGGGAGAUCCCUGGAGAUGGCAGGGAACCCAUGGACACAUGUGGCAUGGGCUCCUUUGGGUGCCGGUGGAUCCCUUCAUACGGUAGUGUUGGUGUAAAAGGCAAACCCGUGUCAUGAGGGAUGGUCAUCAUCUUGUGUGAUCCUUGGAGAUGGCAGGAAGCCCUGGACAUACAUGGUGUGGGGGCUCCUCCAGAGGCUGUUGGGAUCCUCCUGGAUGUGGUGUGGGCAUGGAAGGAAGGCCAGUGGAGACAAUGGAUGAUCUUGUUCUUAGCAGAUCACUGGAUGUGGCAGGGAGUCCUAGGACAUGUGUGGUGUGGGCUUCUUCAGGUGCUGGUGGUGUUGGCAUGAGGAAAGGAGGUAUCUUCGAGGGACAAUCUUCUUCUUGUGCGAUCCUUGGAGAUGCCAUGAGGCCCCUGGACACAUGUGGUGUGGGCUCCUUUGGAGGCUGUUGUAUCCCUUCUGAAUGUGGCGUGGGCAUAGAAGGAAGGCCAGUGGCCACGAGGGACAAUCUUGGUCUUGGGAGAUCCUGGAAAUGAUAGGGAGUCCCUUGAUAUGUGUGGCAUGGGCUCCUUCAGGUGCUAGUGGAUUCCUUAGGAUGGUGGUGUUGGCAUGAAAGGCAGGCUUGUAUCAUGAGGAAUGAUUGUCAUCUUGUCUGAUUCUUGGAGAUGGCAGGAAGCCCCUGGAAACACAUGGUGUGGACUCUUUCACAGGCUGUUGAAACCCUCCUGAAUGGGCAAGGACUGGAUCGAUGAUGACUUCCAUAUGUACAUUCCUUGGAAAGCUGAACAAAAUGAGUGAAAACUCUAUACCGUCAUCCUCGUCGAACUGAGGUGUUGUGGCCAUGGAAGUAAGGCCAGUGGCUACGAGGGACAGUCUUCAUCUUGGGAGAUCCCUAGAGAGGGCAGGGAGCCCCUUGACAUGUGGAAUGUGAUCUCUGUUGGGUGCUGGUGGAUCCCACAGGUGGUCUGGCAUGGAAGAAGGCCAGAGGCUGCGAUGGAUCAUCUUUGUCUUGGGAGAUUCCUGGAGAUGGUGGGGAGCCCCUGGGCACGUGCAGCAUAUGUGGCGUGGGCUUCUUCAGGUGCUGGUGGAUCCCUCAGGAUGUUCAUUGUGGAACCAGCACAGAUUUUCAUACGAAAGUUAUUUCUUUUUAACCUCAAAAAGUGACAGAAUGGAGUGUAUCAUGAAAAAGUCUGACAUCAAAACCUCAAAAUGUGAUAUUGAUUGGGUGAGAUAGAAUUCCAUGGAAUUUCAUUGCCAAACCAGUGAAGUGCUAAUUUUGACAUUUGUACCAGCUAACGUAGCUGUGAAGAAACACACCAAUACACUUCUAAGGACAGCAUAGACCAAGAUCUAGGUUUCAUAUGGAUGAAUUUAUUCUUCCCUUUGAGGCAAGACAAGAAGGAAAGAAAGUAUUGGGAAUAAUGCUGCCCUCCCAUCCUCAAGGGCCAGUGGGAACUCUAAUAUUGAUUGGUUUUCACAGAAUUCCAUGGACUUUAACUGCUGAACCAAUGAUGCACUGAUUUUGUCACUUGUACCAGCUAACGCAUCUGGGAGGCAACAAAACAAUACUCUCCUGAGGUUAAUGUGGACCAAAAACUAGAUUUCAUAUAAAAGAGUUUAUUCCUUCUACUUGAGGUGUGACAUGAAGGAAAGUAAUGGAAAUAAUUCUGCCCUCCCAUUCUCAAGGGCCAGGGGGAAUUCAAAUAUUGAACGGAAGUGAUUUUGGAAUUGCAUGGAAUUCUCACUGCCAUCCCAAAGAAAUGCUGAUCUUGUCACUCUUACCUGUUUCAUUCCCUGGGGGCAGAACAAAAGGACGCACUCCAAAGAUCGGCAUGAACCAAGAACUGGGUUUCAUAUAAAAUAUUUUAUUCUGUCCUCUUGAGAUGUGACAUGAGAAAAGUAUUGAGAAUACUUCUAUCACCUCAUCUUCAAGAAUCCGUAGGAAUUCUCCCAUGGUGGACUUUACGGUUAACCUGAACAGGUCUUGGAAAAAGGACUUUAAACAUUCUCCUGUUCUGUGGAAUAAGUAUACUUUUUUCUGGACAUACACCUUGUCAGUGAGUUCCAUGUGAUACUAGAGUUGCAUAGAUUUUUAACCUUUACGCCAAUGAAGAUCUGAGGCAAACAUUGCCCCUUUUUUAGAAGUUUGCAUUUGUCACUGAUAACUGUAAUAAUUGAUCUUGUUGAAAAGCCUGGGAAAUGAAGAUCUGAUAUGUCACUUUUACCGGCUUCCUCAACUGAAAAAGAAUACAAUGAAACACGCUGAGAAUUUUUGUGCUUUCUCAGUCUUGCUGAUGAUCUUUCUAUGGGCCUGAAGCGUGGAGAGUGCCAGAGAGGCUGAUCCUCAGCAGUGUGGCAGAGGAAAGUUGGGUGCGACUAAGGGGUAUGCGGUGCCCACAUGCCACUGGGUCCUCAGCAGUACCACCUGAUUGGAAGUGAUAUUGGUGGAAGACAACAUUUUGCCGCUUGGAAUUCUCACCUCCACACCAAAGAAGUACUGUUUUUGUCAUUUGCACCAGCUUCUUUCUCCAGGAAAGAUCAAAACGAUGCACUGCAAGUGUGAUUGGUCCAGAUAGCUGCCUUAUCCAACUGCCUCCUUUGGACCACUUCAUCAUGGGACAGCUUGAUGCAAUCUACUUGACAAGACCCUGGAACCCCACACCCCUCAUGGAACCAGUGUCCACCUCCCAGUCACAGUGUGACCCCAGGGAACUCUUGCCUGCUUGCUUUAAACCCACCACUUAAAAGUCUCCACAGAAAACCUGUUUGAAUAGUACCCUUGACCCAAUAAGGGCAUUGGCCCCUGGGUGUCUCUCUCUCUCUCUCUCUCUCUCUCUCCCUCUCUCUCCCUCUCUCUCUCUCGCUCCCUGACCUCUGCGUGUGGACUCCAGGCAUGCCAUAUACCCCUCAGGACCUGAAGCAAAAGAAUGAAUUAAAGAAAACUCCAGAGAAUGAGCUGACAACCUACUCCCUGGUCAGUGGCUCUCCAUGCCUACCUGUGGUCUCUUGGACACCCUUGCAGAAGAUGACUUCCUGGGAACUCUUCUGGGAGUGAAUGUUAUCAGCAAAUUCCCAAAACAACACCCCUUAGACAAAAAGCCUCCUCACCUAUGCAUUGCCUAGACCACCCACUAAAGGUGAUGGCCACAAAGAGGUGGAUUUGUUGAGUUGGUGCCAUUCCUUCUACUGCCAGCUUCACCAAAACAAUGACACAGUCUUCCUUCCGCAUGGAGACUCUUCUCUUUCCUGUGUUGCAGUGGAUGCCUCCUGCAGAUAAGAAAUGCUUAACUGAGAAAUGCUCAUGUUGGGAUAUCAUCGAUGAGACUUUAAUUUGGGCAUGGUGACUGUUUCCCUUGCUGCCACUUGACUCAAUCCCAGGAGCCUCAGUAGAGGAUAUAAUAUUACACAAGAUGCUCAAAAUGGUGGAAUUGCUCAGUGCUCCCAUAAAUAUACAUUUAUAAUUUUCAUUUGCCACAUGGUAAACUGAAAAAUACAGACUAUAUUAAAAAGAAACUGCAUGAUUUUUUUUCAAAAAUUCAAAGCAUAUUUAAAUAAUAUAUAAAUUAAAUGCCCUCCUCUCUUCCAAUUCUGUCCCUAUAGUUUUCCUCUAUUAAGUGAACUACAUGCAUUCUUUUAGUGGAUAGAUGCACACAAACACACAAGCCAUUAUGGGGAAGGAUCCACGUGUGUGGCCAUAUUGUAACACAUUUUUCUGCAAAUCACCUCUUUCAUUUAACAGCCCUUAUUCAAUGGCCUUUUUCUUUUUCAGUAGUACAUACACAUCUGUGUCAUUUGUUGAAUGACGACAUGAAUGUUUUGUAGAUAAAAUAUAAUUAAAUGUUUUAAGCAUUUCUCACUCAUAGAUAUUUAUGUUAGCACCAAAUUUCUGUGCAAUGAACCUCCCUAUAUAUCAGUAAUUUUGCAUUUGUCUAUAAUAUCAUAAUAAAUUACUUAUCAGUUGAAUUACUGGGAUUAAGUAUGUGCACACUUUAUAUUUAUAUUUUGAAAAUUAUUGCAAGAUUGCCUUCAAAAAUGUGGUUAACAACUUUAUCUUCAAAUGGCAAUGAAUGAGAUUGCCAGCUUUCCUACAGCCUCACAGACAAUGGAUUUUAUAAAUAUUUAACAUUUUUGCCAAUGUGAUCACCCAAACUAUUGUCUUAAAUUGUAUCUCUUUUGUUUUUGAGUUUGGUCAUUUUUUCAUGUUUAUUAGCCAUCUGUAUUUUUUAAUUUCUUCUUUAUGUCCAAUUUUGUGGGUGGGAGGAGGAUUUAGUCUCUUCCUGAUUUCGAAGAGCUCAUUUACUAUUUCGGGAAAUAAGAUUUGGAUUGUCAACCAUUAUAGCUAUUUUUUACACACUUUUCAACUUUGUUUUUGUUAUAAGAAUGUGUAUGAUUGUUACAUGUCCAAGUAUAACCAUGUUCGCUUUUAUGGCUUCUGAGUUUCAUGUCAUUUUUGGAAAGAUAUAUAUAUUGAGUCCAUAAAACCCUUCACCUAUGUUAAAUUCUAAUUCUUUUGUGUUUUUUUAAUUCAAAUUCUUAAAUCAUGAGAAAUUUUUUUGUUUUGAAAUCUUAAAGUUGCCAAGUUACUUGCCAUUACUUGCGAUUAUUUGCCAAUAAUUGCCCAUUUAUCUGUACCGCCAUCUUGCGCAUAUGCUGUACUCUCAUCUGUGACUGGCUCCAUUUUUGUUCUGUGGAUUUGUGUGUCUCUUCUUCUGCCUCCUGUCUCGUGUCUGCUCGUUGGAAGAAAUUACAGUUUAGACUGCAAUUUCAUCAACUUUAAUAAAUCAAUUGAGGGGAGAAUUGGUUUUUAAAAAUAUUAAGUAAGUCUUCGUAUCCAAGGACAAGGUAUGUCUUUUCUUAUUCAAUAAUUUUAAUUACUGUUAAUAUUUUCACUGUGGUGAUGGGAGUUUUUCUUUUAAUUUAUUUUCUUGUUCAUUUUUUGUAUCUAAAGUUUUUGUUUUGUUUUGUUUUGGGGGUAAGUUGUCACCUUACUGUUUCUUGUUGCUUUUCAGAUUUUUUCAAAGUAUAGACUAAAUCCUUCACAAAUAUUUAAAGUUUUUAUUUUCCCCCUUCAUAUUGAUCCUGAUUUUAGUUAUGUUGACAAAGUCCACAGACUGUUACUAUCAGAACACUUGAACAGUUAUGGAAAUAUUACCUACCCUUGAUUUAAUCAGAGUUUAAUGGUAUGCUUCUUUGGUUUGACUGGCACAUUGUCGCUGGUCAUUUCCUCCCAAAGACCACCAGAAAGAGCUAUGAUCAAGCAAAGCUGAGUUUGUUAAACUUACCUGCAGCAAGGGAAAACACCACCUUGAUAGGGUUUAAUAAUGUUUCAAAAUCAAGAAAUGAGGCUUUGGGGUCUGGGCAGGGAACUAAUUAGAAAUGGGCAAAAUUUGUCAUGCAAUACCUUGUGGGAAAGUGAGAUGAGGUUCUUAAUGUGAGUAUUGAUGGUGAAAUCAUUUUCUAGGUGAGCUGUUUGCCUAUAUAAAGAUGUUAUCAAUGACAGAAGAACUAUUUGCCUAGAUAAACAAACUGAAUUUAUUUAUUGGUUUACAGUUUUAUCUUGCUGGGCAGGACUCUGCUGGGGGUGGUAUCAGGUCUUAUUCCCAAUAGGUAAGUUAUUUGGAUAUGGGUGGUCUUAAUCAUCAAUGUGUAAAAUGCUGAUUUUAAGUGCGAAAUACUUUGUCUACCAUGUUAGGAAAGUCUGCCACCUUUUAUCUUUUUUAAGGAAUUUUAAUCAAAACCAGGUGGUAGAUAUAAUCAAAUUGUUUUGCAGAAUCAAUUUUCCUGUUCUCUUUAAAGACUUUUAUCACUGUGAAUUAAUUUACUAUUAUUGCAACUUCCUUUAAUUCCUUGAAUGAACAGACCCUACUGGUUUUAAAAAUGUUUUAUUCUUUUAAUUUACUACUUAAUUGUGGGUAUUUUAAUUUGAUUUGGAAUUUUUACAAGUAUACAACUAAGUGAAAUUGAUCUGUGAUUUUUCUUUUUUGUGCUAUUUUUGUCAUGUUUUGAUAUCAGAUAUUCUGGUUGUGUUAAAAUAAUUUUGAGGAUUUUCUUCUUAUACUGUGUUCUAGAGUGGGUAAAAAAGCCCUAGUCUCACUAUCAGUGUUUAAGUGAACACAUCAGUGACAUCAUCUGGACUCUCCUUUGUUUUUGCUGGUUUGGAGUUAGGACAUCUAGAAGUUUUUUUCUUUUUUUCCUUUUUUUGUAUGGUUAUUGCUUGUUCUUUGUUUUGUGUCAAAUUUAACCUGUUUUCUCUUAGCAAAUCACAGCUCAUGCAGAUUUUCAAACACAUUAGCCUUGUUAUACAAAGUGUUCUUUCAUCAUUCUAUUAAAUUUCCAUUUUCAUUCCAGUUAUAGUUAUUUCUGCUGUGCCUUUGUUAAUGAAUAAGUUUAAACAGUGGAUGUUUAGCAUCACUAGCCUUCCCCUUCCAUCUCCCUUAAUCAGGACCUUGGUAUAAUUUAUCAGGUAUUUUUUAAGGUUCUAAUUUACUUAUAUAUAUUGUUUCUGUAUUCUUUUGUUUCUUUUCUUAAUAAAUUCUUAAACCUGUGUAA